rnacentral:rRNA from 1 species
UACGUAGGUGGCAAGCGUUGUCCGGAUUUAUUGGGCGUAAAGGGAACGCAGGCGGUCUUUUAAGUCUGAUGUGAAAGCCUUCGGCUUAACCGAAGUCGUGCAUUGGAAACUGGGAGACUUGAGUGCAGAAGAGGAGAGUGGAACUCCAUGUGUAGCGGUGAAAUGCGUAGAUAUAUGGAAGAACACCAGUGGCGAAAGCGGCUCUCUGGUCUGUAACUGACGCUGAGGUUCGAAAGCGUGGGUAGCAAACAGG